rnacentral:rRNA from 1 species
CCUGGCUCAGGACGAACGCUGGCGGCAUGCCUAACACAUGCAAGUCGAACGGAAGUAGAAAUACUUUAGUGGCGAACGGGUGAGUAACACGUGAGCAACCUGCCUUAUACACAGGGAUAACAGUUGGAAACGACUGCUAAUACCGGAUAAGACCACACUAUGGCAUCAUAGAGGGGCCAAAGCGAAUAAGCGGUAUAAGAUGGGCUCGCGUCCAAUUAGCUAGUUGGUGAGGUAACGGCCCACCAAGGCGACGAUUGGUAGCCGACUUGAGAGAGUGAUCGGCCACACUGGAACUGAGACACGGUCCAGACUCCUACGGGAGGCAGCAGUGGGGAAUAUUGGGCAAUGGAGGAAACUCUUUAACCCCCAGCAAUGCCGCGUGAGUGAUGAAGGUCUUUGGAUUGUAAAGCUCUUUGAUUGGGGACGAAUAAAUGACGGUACCCAAAGAACAAGCCCCGGCUAACUAUGUGCCAGCCGCGGC